CUGUCACAUUGAAAGAGGAAGAAGAGGAGGUUGGAGAUCUGUUUAACACCAGGCACAGCAGAGGAACUUCAUCGAUUCCACUCCUUCAUCAAGCUGUAAACAUCUGAAAUUCAACCUCACCUUUGAUGCGCAUGAAACAAGUUAUCUGGACAUUUUGAUUAAGAGGGAGGUAACCAGAUCGUGGAUACAACUCAGUUACUAAGUCUUUAACCACA